rnacentral:rRNA from 1 species
AAUCAACGCUGGCGGCGUGCCUCAGACAUGCAAGUCGUACGAUUAAAGCUCUCUUCGGAGAGUGUAUAGAGUGGCGCACGGGUGAGUAACACGUAAGUAAUCUACCUUCGAGUGGGGAAUAACAGUCGGAAACGACUGCUAAUACCGCAUAAUGCAGCGGCACCUAAUGGUGACAGUUGUUAAAGCAUUUAUGUGCUUGAAGAGGAGCUUGCGGCAGAUUAGCUAGUUGGUAAGGUAAUGGCUUACCAAGGCAACGAUCUGUAGCCGACCUGAGAGGGUGGUCGGUCACACUGACACUGAAUAACGGGUCAGACUCCUACGGGAGGCAGCAGUCGGGAAUUUUGGGCAAUGGGCGAAAGCCUGACCCAGCAACGCCGCGUGAAGGAUGAAGUAUUUCGGUAUGUAAACUU